rnacentral:lncRNA from 1 species
AUGCAUCCUCAAUGUGUCCCCAGUGUGUCCCCAGUGUGUCCCCAUUGUGUCCCCAAUGUAUCCUCAGUGUGUCCCCCCCGUGUCCCCAACAUGUCCCCAGCGUGUCCCCAGCGUGUCCCCAGCGUGCCCCCAACGUGUCCCCAAUGUGUCCCCAACAUGUCCCCAACAUGUCCCCAACAUGUCUCCAGCGUGUCCCCAGUGUGCCCUCAGUAUGUCCCCAGCGUGUCCCCGUGUCCCCAAAGUGUCUCCAGCAUGCCCCCAACGUGUCCCCAAUACGUCCCCAACGUGUCCCCGAUAUGUCCCCAAUGUGUCCCCAAUAUAUCCCUGAUAUGUCCCCAACAUGUCCCCAAUGUGUCCCUGAUAUGUCCCCAUGUCCCCAGUGCAGCCCCAUUGUGUCCCCAACAUGUCCCCACUGUGUCCCCGUCGUGUCCCCCCGCACGCUGCCCCCCCUUCCCUCGUUUCUCUGCGGUGACCCCGAUGUCCCCACGUCCCCAUGACACANUGCGCUAUGGGGUCUCUGCGCUAUGGGGUCUCAGUGCUAUGGGGUCACUGUGCUAUGGGGUCUCUGCGCUAUGGGGUCUCUGCGCUAUGGGGUCUGUGCAUUAUGGGGUCACUGCGCUGUGGGGUCUCAGUGCUAUGGGAUCUCUGUUCUAUGGGGUCUCAGUGCUAUGGGGGGUCCCCAUGUGUCCCCACCCAGUGUCCCCUGUCCCCUCACCGUGUCCCCUGUCCCCUCGCCAUGUCCCCCCGCCGUGUCCCCUGUCCCCCCACUGUGUCCCCUGUCCCCUCACCAUGUCCCCUGUCCCGUCACCGUGUCCCAUGUCCCCUCACAAUGUCCCAUGUCCCCUGUCUCCUCGCCGUGUCCCCUCCCAAUGUCCCCUGUCCCCUCCCAAUGUCCCCUGUCCCCUCGCAAUGUCCCCUCGCUGUGUCCCCUGCCCCCUCACUGUGCCCCCUCACAAUGUCCCCUGUCCCCUCACAGUGUACCCUGUCCCCUCGCGAUGUCCCGUCUCCUCACUGUGUCCCCUGUCUCCUCACUGUGUCCCCUGUCCCCUCGCCAUGUCCCCUCACCGUGUCCCCUGUCCCCUCACCGUGUCCCCUGUCCCCUCACAAUGUCCCAUGUCCCAUGUUCCCUCACGAUGUCCCCUGUCCCCAUGCCCUGUCCCCUCGCCAUGUCCCCUGUCCCCAUGCUGUGUCCCCUCACAAUGUCCCCUGUCCCCUCGCAAUGUCCCCUCGUGA